GUCGUUGUGGACCCAAGGAAGGUCGUGCGCCUCAUAUACGGAAUGAAGGAAGUGAGUGCCACUGAGAGCAAGCGUGGGCUCGAAUCCCACCGGCGGCA